AGUUGUAAUUUGCAGAGGAUGCUUCGGGUACGGGUUCCUUCCGAGUUCCCUGGAACGGGACGCCAUAGAGGGUGAGAGCCCCGUCUGGCAGGACACCCAGCCCGUGUGAAGCUCCCUCGAC
rnacentral:rRNA from 1 species